GGAGGGGUGGCUGAGUCAUAGGCGUUAAACUGUAAAUUAAUUUAGGAGAAAGAAAAAUCUCCCCUCCA
rnacentral:tRNA from 1 species